rnacentral:rRNA from 1 species
GAUGAACGCUGGCGGCGUGCCUAAUACAUGCAAGUCGAGCGAACAGACGAGGAGCUUGCUCCUCUGACGUUAGCGGCGGACGGGUGAGUAACACGUGGAUAACCUACCUAUAAGACUGGGAUAACUUCGGGAAACCGGAGCUAAUACCGGAUAAUAUAUUGAACCGCAUGGUUCAAUAGUGAAAGACGGUUUUGCUGUCACUUAUAGAUGGAUCCGCGUCGCAUUAGCUAUUUGGUAAGGUAACGGCUUACCAAGGCAACGUUGCGUUGCCGACCUGAGAGGAGGAUAUGCCAAACCGGAGCUGACACAAGGUCAAGCCUCCUACGAGAGGAAGCAGUAGCGAAACUUAAGCAAUGGGCAGAAGCCUGACAGAGCAACGCCGCGUGAGUGAUGAAGGACGUCGGAUCGUAAAACUCUGUUAGUAGAGAAGAACAAAUGUGUAAGUAACUAUGCACGUCUUGACGGUACCUAAUCAGAAAGCCACGGCUAGCUACGUG